UACACACAUCUGGACAGGACAGUAAUUAUUCUUGUUAUAUAAAUGACGUGAGUGUAAGUCAUUAAUUGUCCGUUGGAAGGUAGAACAUUCAAUCACAAGAAAAGGCGCACGUUUUAAUUAUAUAGAAAAGAUAAUCAAUUAGGAAGAAUGCUCGUCAAAAACAUGCAAGUCUGUUUUAUAACAGUUGUACUGUUAACGAUGGGAGCUGGCGUUGCAGCCGGCACCUGCAAAUGUGUAGCAAUGUGGCACAAUUGUUUCUUGUCAUGUGGCGACGCAAGUCAAAGGAUCGUUUGCUCUGAUUGUUUUUAUGGUAGAAGUUUAUGCUUCGACAAGUGCUUUAGAAGACAACAAAACUCCAUGAGUUCAUUUGAUGACGGUAAUGAAGACAAUUUAGUCCAUGUAAAAUAAACUCAUAUCUGACAUGUAAUUAAUGAUAAUCAAACUACGAUGAUAACUUAAGAAAUAGAACUAUAUGAUGAUAAUAAAUAAUGUUUGAAAAUUGUAAAACUGACGUUUAGAAAUAAAGGCGACCAAAUCGAUUGUGUAAAAGCAA